CGAAUUCGUCCGACAUCCGAAGCAAAAAAAAUCGCGAAUUUUUUGUACGAAUACCGAUUUGUUCGAGAACCGGGACGUUCGAAAACCGAGGCUCCACUGUAGUUGGAGUGAGCGUGUUUUUCCAGGGUUGGGGGGUUAUUUGCAGGGUACAAAAAAGUUACAAAACCAUCCACUCCGGAUGAGCUUUGGGAUGAUGGCAUGGCAAAGAUGUAAUUUCCCUUUUUUACCCAUGGAUUUGUGAUUCCAGAUUUAGCUCAAGGAGUGGCACGUGAAAAAGUAGGUGUUUAUCUUCUGAUAUCAUUAAAAUGUGCACCUAACUUUGUUUUGCGCUCAACAGGCCUUGGAACUCUAAGGCAAAUCACUUCAAAAGUUAAAAUUGUGUUGUAUCAUGUUAUUAACAGCCGUUAAUGGGUGAUUUGUCAAAUCAGACGUCUUUUUCCCUUUCCCCUUUUCAGACUCCAAGCCUGGAGAUAAGAGGAGCAUCUGUAUUAAAAACUGACCGGACUCCACAAGCUAGGAGGUGAUUGUGAAACGCCCAUGACAGGGAGAAAGCUUCUGAAGGUCAUCGUGGAGCCCCCUCUGGCAAUCCCUGGGCUGAGGAGCCUCAACUCUCGUUCAGAAUGUGACGCGGAGAGUGGACGGUGCCCAUGACUGAUCUAGAGACCUUUGACAUGAUGUCCAAGGAAAUAAAUGACAAACAGGAUGCAAGACUGAAUGACAGAACGAUUAAGCUUAGAAUUGACUCUACACAAAUGACAACGUUCAAUAUGCGUGCUCGUGUGACUCGUGCAAAAUGCCCUCAGGAAGACUGCUGAUAUCCCUGAGUAAUCCCAAGGUCUACAAAGGGUGGUGCCUGAUGUACAUCGAGUUCAUCUUUGUAGAAGCUGUUGGCGACAUGCACAGAGGCCACGGAUGAUGAAACAAGGACCGCAAUGGCUUUAAAAUUAAAAUGGGCUCCAGAGCUGAGUAGCAAAGAGAGUGAUGUUUAUAUUGUUGUGUUUUGCCAAGCUGGUUGUUUUGUUUGAUAUGUCCUACAUAAAAUAAGUAUACAUUUAUAUUGUAACGUAGUAGUUUUGUUCUAUUAAAUAGUCCCCAUUUUUUAAUACUGUAUGUAUAGUUUUACUUUUUUAAACAUAUGAUUUAAAAACAUUGCACGUUUAUAUUUGUGAUGGUUGGAUGAUGUUUGAAAAAAUGUAUAUAUUUAGGUUCAAUUGUCGUUUUGGUUAAUUUUAACAUCAAAAGGUGUAUUUAUAUCUGCAGGUAACAUACCGUAUUUUUCGGACUAAAAGUCACUCCGGAGUAUAAAUCGCACCAGCCAUAAAAUAUACAAUAUAAAGUGAAAAAAAACAUAAGUUGCACCGGAUUAUUAGUCGCACUUUUGGGGCAAAUUUAUUUGUCAAAAU